GGGAAGCGGCUGCCGUGCGGCCCGUUCCUCGGCGGCCCGAGCGGGCCCUUGGGGCUGGGCGCGUCGAGGCCUCCCGGCGCCCGCCGCGUGGCGGAUGGCCGCUACCCACUCGCCGUCUGGGCUCCAGGCGUGGAAGGACAGGACGGGACGGGGGAACAGCCGGGUGGUCUGCGGGCCCGCAGUGCCGAGCAGAAGGCGUUCGGGGCCAGCGGGAAGGGAGUUGUGGGUGAAAUGCUCGUGAACUGACAGAGGUGGACAGAGAAGCGUGGUUCAGCGAUUCAUGACAAGUAAUUACCGGCUUACGCUUAUUCAGUGCUUCUGUCAUCACUAACGUUUCUACUUUUUUUUAAAUCGAACUGGGAGGAAAAAACCCCACCUACAGUAUAUUUGCAAUGUAAAGUUUUAAGUCAGACUCGAGGAUCACAAUUUUUUACGCCCCUUCCCUGCAGACUUUAUAGGAGAGAUGAUUUUUUCCCCCUCACUCCCAUCCUACCUUGACAGUCUUACAUACCAGAGGCACUACUGGCUGAACGUGUCUGCAAGGAGCAUAUGCCAUUCAGGUCGUCUGGAUUCCUCCUAUUGAUGCAUCUAAGAGGAAUAAGGGAAGAAGAGCCAGCAAUGGCUUCCUCUGUGUGUACCGAGCUGGAAACUUCCCUUCAGGACCAAAGCACUUAGUCAGCUUGAGGGCCCUUUCAGAGUAAUUCUUUAAGCUCUACGGCAUAGCAGCUAAACAGAACUGACAGAUGUGAGGCCACGGGUGCGUCGCUGUGCCUUUCCUGGAGCAACCGAGCAGUUCAACUCUUAUGUAAGACUGCAGCACGCUGCCAGUCCCAUCUAUCGGCAGUGUCUGAAGCGAGCGCUUGAUGUGACCCUUGUGAUGCCAUCCCAAAUAGACCAAUAUUAGGCAUAAAAUGUACACAUUACAUAACCACUUCUCCUGACAGCCACCCAGGACAAGUAUUUUCUACCGACUGCUGCAGACGUUUAAUUUUAACUUGCCGCUAAAAUAAAACAUUCUGUGGGUAGAAGGAAGUGUAUGGGUGGCAACAGAGAAUGGAGGUUAUUCGUGAUCCAGCAUGGAAUGCACCAGAAACAUCAGCAAUUUUUUUUUUACUUGGAUUUACGUGGCCAACUCAGUCUAGCAGCAUCUGUUAAAAAGUGCCCCAAGACCCAUUUCAUGCCUGCUCCUGCGCAUGCAGCCAAAAGCAAAAUUGCAAACGUCAUGAAAUGCUUUUUAAUUACACCCUCACUGCCCAGUAAAGCAGUUGAUUUUAAAAGCAUCUUACAAAGAGUGAUGUAAUUUUAAUUUACUUAGAAAUGCACUGACCUGGCAUUCUGACUUGGUCUGAAGGACAGAGACAGAAACAUAAAAAAUGCAGUUUCAGCAUUUAAAAACAUGAGAGAAGCAGACAUAAGGCAUUAUAGCUGAAACCCCUUAUGUGCCAUUCAGAAAAGAAAUGCUGUGUGGGACUGUAGCAUAUUCUGAUGUACUGAAUUUGCCUGCUAAUUAACCUGAAAGUCUUCUUCCGACCGACCUGCAGCAGCAUGAGCUUGGCGGGGUUGCCAGGGCUUGCAUAAUCCCUUUGGGGCAGGAGGGAAUCUCUGGGAGUCAUGCUGACUGUCCUGACCCCUCUCUGAAAUCCAGCAGGCUUCUUACCAAAGCAGAGAUAGAUUUUCACAUGGAAUUACACCCUGGGAUUGUAAUUGCUGCCAUAAAGAAGUGGUGCUUGGAUGUGGUUAAGUCUACAGUGGAAUGUGUGGUCCUUAUUUCACUUGAAUAUAUUUUAUUUUGAAGCA